UUUACAGGAUUAGAUACCCUGGUAGUCCACGCCGUAAACGAUGAGUGCUAAGUGUUAGGGGGUUUCCGCCCCUUAGUGCUGCAGCUAACGCAUUAAGCACUCCGCCUGGGGAGUACGGUCGCAAGACUGAAACUCAAAGGAAUUGACGGGGGCCCGCACAAGCGGUGGAGCAUGUGGUUUAAUUCGAAGCAACGCGAAGAACCUUACCAGGUCUUGACAUCCUCUGACAAUCCUAGAGAUAGGACGUCCCCUUCGGGGGCAGAGUGACAGGUGGUGCAUGGUUGUCGUCAGCUCGUGUCGUGAGAUGUUGGGUUAAGUCCCGCAAAGAGCGCAACCCUUGAUCUUAGUUGCCAGCAUC
rnacentral:rRNA from 1 species